UUUAUAUGAUUUUCUAAAGCUUUAGACAUUUAUGAAAUUUAAAUUAAUUCGAUUAAAAGGGAAAAUUCUAUGGAUACCCAGAAGUGUACCCAGCCAGAGGCUGACUGGUGGGCCUGGUCAACUACUGACUCAGUAGUUGACUAGUCAACUUUGACUAGUCAAAGGGCUGACCAGGGUCCACCCAUCAUUGAACUAGUUAGUAUCAGAUUGAUUUUAUUAUUUUGUUAGCUUAAUUAGUAGGUGGGGCCCAGUGGUCAGUGACAGUGGCUAAACAAAUGUAAGUAACUAAUUUAUAACUAACCUAAUUAGUAGGGGCCACAUGGCAAUGGGCCAUCCAAAACAUUAACGUGUGCAUCAUGGGCGCUUCCUAGGCUGUGCCACGUCGGAUCGGUGGAAGACAAAACAGAUUGCUGAAAAAAAAAGAUUGCUGGGAGAAAAAAAAUGAUGGUUGAUUGGGCAGCGGCCAGAUAACACAUGCCUCUUGAUCUGCUUUCCCUUCCUCACGAAGCAAUCUCCAAUCCCGCACGCAAGACGCAACCUCGUCGUCGCAUUGCUCUCCUCAACAACUGCUACGCGUCCACGCGCCGCUACCUCCGCCACUUCUCCUGCGCUUUCUCUGCCCCGUUCACCUCUGCCCUGCGCCGCCUCCUCCUCUGGAGAAGGAGCAUGGCGCCCGUCGCUGUGCCUGGUGGGGAUCCGGCGCAUCCCCUCUCCACUCACCUCCUCCUCUCCUGGGUCCCUGUGUUGCCGUCUCAGGUGCUUCUCCUGCGUCUUCUCCUCCUAGCUGAGUCCUCGACCAGAUCAGCGUCCGUCGUAGGAGGCUUGGGUGGUCGCAGGUUCGGGCGCAACUCCUUCCUUCCCGUACGCUAGGAUCAAACAGCCCGUGAGCCUGGCGGUGCCUGCCUGGAUCCGGAGGUAGAUGGACUAGAUCCUAGAGCUGGGCAUGAAGGAGCUCGAGGUCGACGACUCCGGCUUCGUCCUCCUCCUCUGAUGUCGUCACCUUGCCCGGGUCCAACACACCUAUCCAUCGCCCCAAUUUUUAUCAUUUCGUCGUGAUUACCAAUCCGCGCCAUCCGUAGUGUGUGCCUUCUGCCCUUCUCACCACUCUGAACUCGGAGGCGGUGGAAAUUGGGUGGGGAAGGUUUUCGAGCUCAAAAUUAAACCCGGUUCUAGAAUAGUAGAAGCUGGUGCUGGGAUGGUCGGUAGGCAGUGGCACUCUUAGGUUUCCAUUGCUUCAAAUCUAUUUGGUUUUAGGUGAUUUGGCACCCAAAACUCACAACACUGUUGCUACACAUCAGUUCAAGAAUCAAGGCAAAUAGCGGUAUUUCCCUUUGGGGUGAAUGGACGAACUGAUUAUGGGAAGACGAACCAAGUAGUUUAUACAGUACUCUCAAUUUUUCACACUUCCAGUGAAUUAAACUGAUGAUUUAGAUGUGACUUCUCUCCUUCGUACAUUGUUUGGGGGUUUGGUUUGAGAAGUGGGUUGCAGCACUCAUGAUUUUGCUUGUUUCGGGGAUGGAAUGAAUUGGGCAUCAACAUCACGCACGCACGCACGCACGCACGCAGCACGCACGCACGCACGCACGCACUAGAAACCAGAGAGAAUUAAACAGAUAGGGUUUUGAAAUUGACUCGGUAGCUGAAUCAUGGUCCAUGAAUUUGUGUAAAACGACAAGUGCGCUACUGAAUUAAAAUUCUACCUGUUCAUUCCACUGCCCAGUUACCAUCUGAAAGGUUCUAUUUUGCCACGGCAACUCUAAUUAGAUUGUUAUAGUUCGGACUAAGGGGAUCAAGAUUAGUCAUCUGUUACCAUGUACUGUGAACCUCAACACUAGCUGAGUAGCUACGUAGCUAAUCAUUGAUCUUGUCUUGGGUGAAAGGGUGGCGUUUGUUAAUUCAGAUACUGAAAGGUAACCCACACUGACUUUAUUUGUUUACUUUCCUUAUGAACCCUUAUUUGCUUAGCUUCUGUUGAUGAUAUUUCUAAUCUUUUAUCUUCGUCGGUAAACUCAACUGCAUCUCAGUUUUCUGUUCCCGUUUCCUGGAUUGGGGGUCCUGGUGCGCAAGAUUCUUCUGUUUGCUACGGCGCACGCAGACCUGGAUGACACCAAGCAUUGACGUGUGCACGUUCGUCGCAACAGCCACACCUCAACCCUCCUGACGCACACAACAAUUAGCGGUGCCAAAAUGAUUUGGUGUUUGCAAGGGGUCUGCUUUUGUUGCAUUUUCUACACGUGAGAAACCAUCUCAGGCUAUUUGGAUGCACCUGCACAGUACUGAUAGUACAUGAAAUUCAUCAACCUGCUGUUGCCGCAACCAACCAAAGUUUGCUCUAACAGAGUGAUGAAUACAAAUAUUCAUGCUAAGCUUUCUUCAAAUUAUGCUAAUUGAUCUUAAAAAACUGGCUACUGGUGUUAUUGCUACAAUUUAUUUCUGACAGCCAGGUAGUCUUGGUAUGCUUUCGUGAUGCAAUUUAUUUCUGACAGACAAACUAUGCUAAUUGAUCUUGAAAAGCUGGCUACUGGUGUUAUCUGCUUUGUGGAAGGCUGUUGGCAUUAAACUUUAGUGCUCGGCUGUCCAUCAUAGUAUCAUUUCCUCGAUAAUUAAUGAGGCAUGAAAAAUAGGUGAAAUUGCAGGAAAAUUGAAGAUGGGAACACGAUUCAUUUUGUCAAUGGGAACAUCUACUGUUACAGAUACACUUUCUGUAUUCUACCUAUCGAUGGCGUAAUGUUUGAAUAUUAAGUCA